CUCGCACCCAAACCCAAGAACUGCUGCUUGUGGUAGCCGCAGUUUAAACCGAGGUGCGCACAGCAAGUGGGCCUCGUCGCCUUUGGGGGCUGUGCUGUGCCCCGCGGAGUGAAUGUUGAGGCCCUACACCC
ensembl:snoRNA small nucleolar RNA, H/ACA box 68